GAUGAAGAACGCAGCGAAAUGCGAUAAGUAAUGUGAAUUGCAGAAUUCAGUGAAUCAUCGAAUCUUUGAACGCACAUUGCGCCCGCUAGUAUUCUGGCGGGCAUGCCUGUCCGAGCGUCAUUUCAACCCUUAAGCCCCCGGGCUUGGUGUUGGGGAUCGGCGAGCCUCCGCGCCCGCCGUCCCCUAAAUCUAGUGGCGGUCUCGCUGUAGCUUCCUCUGCGUAGUAGCACACCUCGCACUGGGAAACAGCGCGGCCACGCCGUUAAACCCCCAACUUCUGAACGUUUGACCUCGGAUCAGGUAGGAAUACCCGCUGAACUUAAGCAUAUCAAUAAGCGGAGGA
rnacentral:misc_RNA from 1 species